AGUGAACGCUGGCGGCAGGCCUAACACAUGCAAGUCGAGCGGCAGCGCGGGGGCAACCCUGGCGGCGAGCGGCGGACGGGUGAGGAAUUCGUCGGAAUCUGCCUUUUUGUGGGGGAUAACGUAGGGAAACUUACGCUAAUACCGCAUACGUCCUACGGGAGAAAGUGGGGGACCGCAGGCCUCACGCAGAAAGAUGAGCCGACGACCGAUUAGCUAGUUGGUGGGGUAAAGGCCCACCAAGGCGACGAUCGGUAGCUGGUCUGAGAGGAUGAUCAGCCACACUGGGACUGAGACACGGCCCAGACUCCUACGGGAGGCAGCAGUGGGGAAUAUUGGACAAUGGGCGCAAGCCUGAUCCAGCCAUGCCGCGUGUGUGAAGAAGGCCUUCGGGUUGUAAAGCACUUUUGUCCGGAAAGAAAUCCCUGGAGCUAAUACCUUCGGGGGAUGACGGUACCGGAAGAAUAAGCACCGGCUAACUUCGUG
rnacentral:rRNA from 1 species